GGAUGUCAGCGCCAUCUUGUGACGGCGAAUGUGGGGGCGGCUCCCAACAGUCACCCAUCCAUUAGUGGCUCAUGUGUUCUUAAGACAAACUCAGCAGGCUGUACCUGUCCAGAGUGAAACCAGAGCUUCUGCCUGCAUGGAACAAGAGCAAGAGAAAGCUGCCUGGGUCACCGUCCCACCUGAGGGCUAUCUGUCUGUCCCACAAAGCAGACAGCACAAGAGGAAGUCUGUGGGGCCGAGGAGACUGACCUGCUUAUCCAUGCUACUUAUCAGGAACUGUGGAACCAUGGAGAACAUGACCCUGGCCCUCCCUUCAGGAUCUGCCUGAGAUCUGGCUGCCUCUUGAGACACUAGAGCCCUGGAUUCAAUUGCGGAACAUUAUGUUGGAGAAUAUAAACACUUCUAGACUGUGCCGGCAUUUGGGAAGGAAUAGUCUGUUUUGACUUGAAUGAACAAAGACAUACGUCUCUGGGCCUGGGGAAGGCUUACCAGCUCAGCUCAUCUACUGUCUGGUGGCAAACAUGUCCUGGGUACUGCCACUACCCAGGACACUCUUCCUCACUCUGUCCCUGUCCAGUUACCGCACCCUUCCCUGUCUGACCCCGCCUCCUGUGCCCACUCGCCUCUGGACCCAGAGAUUCUUCUUGUUUGCUCUAUCAUCCUUGAGCCGGAUACAGGGUGAAUAGUUAACCACACUUGGGUUGAAUGGGAUCUUGAUUCUUAUUUCUGUUCCUUGGAAAGAGGGGUCAGACUCGGUGCGUGGCACCCGGCCUGGAAGCAGCACAAGACUCCAGAGUGAUACAUGAUCUGCCUGGAUGGUCCCAGGGGCUCUUUGGAGGUCAGAGCAAGAGGAGCAGCCUGAGCAGGGGGGCUGAGGAGGGCCGGCACUGGAUCACACGCAGGCGUAUGUCUGGAUAGGCAGAGAGGAACCCACUUUUCAUUCCCUCUUCUGUGACACAAAUGCAAGGAACUUUGAAGACACUCUUCGGAGGUUGCAAUCGGAGAUCAGCUUAUCCAAGGGCUUCAUGUCUGAGCUCUGUUGGUCGUGCCUCCUGAGGACCUCUUUCCUCUACUGUAUGCUGAUGACACACCCAUCCGAUGGGAGCUGGAGCCUUGUCUGGUCCUUUCCUCUAUGACCCCACGUGUACAGUUGGAAAUCCUUCCUAAUCAUGCCUUGAUUCCCCCUUUUCGACUACACUCAAAGAUGUUUGAGCUGUUUUAUUUGCAAAAUGGAUGGACAGUUUGUUUAUAUAAAACAAUCCCAGCUUCCUUGUGCUCUAUCUGGUGUGUUUGUAUGGCUCUUCAGUGACUUUAAAGUGGAGCAUUGACCUUGGCCUCUUUGAUUCUCCAUGGUGGAAUAGAGAAGACCUCUUGAGGAUGCUUAAUGUUGCUGAGAUCUUAAGAAGGCUUGCAGACUUCCUCUUCCUCCCUCCUUCUCCCACCUCCUCCUUCCCUAAGCAGCCUCUGCAUUGUAUAAAUUCCUUUAUAUAAA
rnacentral:lncRNA from 1 species